UGAGGAAUAUUGCUCAAUGGGUGAAAGCCUGAAGCAGCGACGCCGCGUGGGCGAUGAAGGUCUUCGGAUUGUAAAGCCCUUUUGCAGGAGACGAAAAACUCGCUCGGCGAGCCUGACGGUACCCUGCGAAUAAGCCACGGCUAACUCUGUGCCAGCAGCCGCGGUGAUACAGAGGUGGCGAGCGUUGUCCGGAUUUACUGGGUGUAAAGGGUGCGUAGGCGGAUUUGCAAGUCGAGGGUUAAAGACCUUCGCUUAACGAAGGGAAUGCUCUCGAUACUGUAAGUCUAGAGUGCCGAAGAGGAGGCUGGAAUUUCCGGUGUAGCGGUGGAAUGUGUAGAGAUCGGAAGGAACACCAGUGGCGAAGGCAGGUCUCUGGUCGGUAACUGACGCUGAUGCACGAAAGCGUGGGGAGCAAACAGGAUUAGAUACCCUGGUAGUCCACGCCCUAAACGAUGGAUGCUAGAUGUUGGCCUUCGGGUCAGUGUCGCAGCUAACGCAGUAAGCAUCCCACCUGGGAAGUACGACCGCAAGGUUG
rnacentral:rRNA from 1 species